AGAAAGACUCCAAGAUGUCAUUAAGAUAGCCCUGUGAGAUCUGAAAACCACCUCUGCACCCUGGUCCUUGUCCCUGGCCCUGAGAGGACACGCCACUUACUCUGUGACACUCUCACCAGCUCUGUCACGUUCCAGACCCCAGACGUCACAAAGCAGUCCUGGAAACUUAAGUGCCCUAAAGAAAGAAAAUGGCUGGCCUUGCACACUGCCCACUGCCAAACGCACAGGAGGGGACCUGAGGCAGUGCAGUGGGGGCUGAGUCCUCCACUCUGGAGGUGGAGGGUGGCCUCUCUUGUCUGGCCAUGCCUUGUCUGCCUUCUCGCCUCAGCCACCUCCCUUCCUCCCUCCUUGUCCCCAGCCCAUCGACACUCUUCUCUGGGAGCCCCUGACAGUGGGUGAGCUCCGGCCCACACAGAACCCCCCUCCAGUGUCUGCUUUCUCACUGGGGACAAUGGGCCAGCUGGUGGCCCAAGGAACAGUGGAGAGACAGGGAUGAUCCUGGCUCAUAUGAGGAAGGCAGGUGCUGCUUCAUCUCUUAUCCUGUCCCGCCCAGCCCACCCUGGACACUGUCACACUGGUCCCCCAGUUUGCUGUGGCCGUGUCUCCUGGGGGCUUUUCUUGCUUCAGCCUCUCCAGUCUGGCUGCCAUGGAAGCAAGGGCUAAACCGCUCCAGUCUCCUCUGUUCAGA
rnacentral:lncRNA from 1 species